UACAGAGGGUGCGAGCGUUAAUCGGAAUUACUGGGCGUAAAGCGCGCGUAGGCGGCUUUGCAAGUCGGGUGUGAAAUCCCCAGGCUUAACCUGGGAACUGCAUUCGAGACUGCAUUGCUAGAGUAUGGGAGAGGGAAGUGGAAUUUCCGGUGUAGCGGUGAAAUGCGUAGAUAUUCGCAAGAACACCAGUGGCGAAGGCGGCUCACUGGCCCGGUACUGACGCUGAGGUGCGAAAGCGUGGGGAGCAAACAGG
rnacentral:rRNA from 1 species